UUGCAUGAGUAAGCGUUUCUGCUUUUUUAAAAAAAAAUGUGUUUGUUUGUUUCUUGAUUGUUGUUGUGUCUCCUACAGAGGGAAGCAAUUACUUGCUCAUUGGACAAAGACCUCGAUCUGGCAAAAGCCCAGUUCUGCCGGGCCCAGCAGAGGGGAGCCAGCCAGCCACACUCCACUGAAUUAGCCCCGAAGAUGGCUGGGAGUUCCCACCUUCAAACAGGAAAUGAAUCCAGAAGAGGAAGAAGCUCACUCAAGGUCCCUCCUGUAACAAUGCCACGUCCCUUCUUGCUCAGGGCCAUGCACGUGGUCGCCCACAUUCAUCCUGGCCAACUGCUUCUCAUCCCGAAGACUGACCCCUUCCUUCCCUGAUCGCCUUGAAUAAAGUAGCCCACCACAGUUGUCACAA